rnacentral:rRNA from 1 species
GGAGGAAAGCAGGGGAUCGCAAGACCUUGCGCUCAUUGAGCGGCCGAUGCCUGAUUAGCUAGUUGGUGAGGUAAAGGCUUACCAAGGCGACGAUCAGUAGCUGGUCUGAGAGGACGACCAGCCACACUGGGACUGAGACACGGCCCAGACUCCUACGGGAGGCAGCAGUGGGGAAUUUUGGACAAUGGGGGAAACCCUGAUCCAGCCGUGCCGCGUGAGUGAAGAAGGCCUUCGGGUUGUAAAGCUCUUUCAGCCGGAACGAAACGGUCACGGCUAAUACCUGUGACUACUGACGGUACCGGAAGAAGAAGCACCGGCUAACUACGUGCCAGCAGCCGCGGUAAUACGUAGGGUGCGAGCGUUAAUCGGAAUUACUGGGCGUAAAGCGUGCGCAGGCGGUUUUGUAAGUCAGAUGAGGGAUCCCCGGGCUUAACCUGGGAACUGCGU